rnacentral:rRNA from 1 species
GACGAACGCUGGCGGCGUGCUUAACACAUGCAAGUCGAGCGGUAAGGCUCCUUCGGGAGUACACGAGCGGCGAACGGGUGAGUAACACGUGAGCAAUCUGCCCUUCACAUCGGAAUAACCUCGGGAAACCGAGGCUAAUACCGGAUAUGACCAUCGGUGGCAUCAUCUGAUGGUAGGAAAGUUCCGGCGGGUGGGGGAUGAGCUCGCGGCCUAUCAGCUUGUUGGNGGGGUAAUGGCCUACCAAGGCGACGACGGGUAGCCGGCCUGAGAGGGUGACCGGCCACACUGGGACUGAGACACGGCCCAGACUCCUACGGGAGGCGGCAGGUGGGGAAUAUUGGACAAUGGGCGAAAGCCUGAUCCAGCAACGCCGCGU